rnacentral:rRNA from 1 species
CUAGCGACUUCAGAGUUUGAUCCUGGCUCAGGAUGAACGCUAGCGACAGGCUUAACACAUGCAAGUCGAGGGGCAGCAUGAAUUUACUUCGGUAAAUUUGAUGGCGACCGGCGCACGGGUGCGUAACGCGUAUGCAACCUACCCAUAACUCGGGGAUAGCCCAUGGAAACGUGGAUUAAUACCCGAUGGUCUAUUGCAACUGCAUGGUUUCAAUAGUAAAGAAUUUCGGUUAUGGAUGGGCAUGCGUUCCAUUAGGUAGUAGGUGAGGUAACGGCUCACCUAGCCCAUGAUGGAUAGGGGUUCUGAGAGGAAGGUCCCCCACAUUGGAACUGAGACACGGUCCAA